AAAGCAAAUCAGGGCUGUGUGUGUUUCAUUUUCCUUUUGUAUCGAUUUCUAACUGAGACAACUAGAGAGCUGCGUGAAAAGAAUAAAGUUGAAGUCUGUUAUGGACUGAAGGUUUGUGGCCCCCAAAUCCAUAUGUUGAAACCCUACUCCCCAAAGGGAUGGCAUUAGGAGGUGGGGCCUCUGGGAGGUGAUUAGGGUCAGAUGAGGUCAUGAAGGUGGGGCCCUCAGGAAUGGGAUUAGCGCCCUUAUGAGAGUCCAAAGAAAGCCUGCUUCCUUUCUGUUCCCUGCCACGUGAGGAUACAACAGACGUCAGCAGGUUGCAAGCCAGGACGAACGCCCCUGCCAGAUUUGAUCCUGCUGGCACCCUGAGCCCCGACUUCCAGCCUCCAGAACCGCAGAGAAGCUGCUGUUGUUUCAGCUGUGCAGCCUGUCGUCCUUGUCACAGCUGCCUGAACUGAGGCAGACGCCUAAGUCACAGCACACACCAGACUGAGCUCCGAUGGAUCCAAACCUAAAUGGGAGAAGGAACAGUUUGGAGAAAGGACCUGAAUCUUCUGCUAACAAGACAUUCUCUCUGUUGGUUCCUGACGGACUGCUGCUGAGUUGCCCGCGUGCGGUUCUAAGUGUUUUUCCAAGGCUGGCAGCAAGACUGUGAAAAUAGGACGACGUGGGUUCUGGACAUGGAGGCUCUCAUGCUCAUUUGGUCUCAUUGUGAUUUAUAGAAAAUAUGUAUUUGGUCUUUGUCUGGUUCUUGGCACAGAGCUCCCCAAACCCUUGGAAUUUCCUACGUGGUGAUUAGAGCUAUAAAGGUAUCUUUUGUUAUUCCUAACAAGACCUGUGCAACCACACCUGCAUUUAUGUUAAUGAGGUGACUUUUGGCGAGCCCUUAGGUCACCUAAGGAAGGGGCUGCUUGCCUGGAGCGGACCAUGUGAUUAGAGGUUUGGAGCUUUCAGCGUCACCGCCCACCCCACCUUGGAGAGGGGUGAGGGGCUGGGGAUUGGCCAGUGGCCAGUGAUUUAAUCAAUCAUGCCUAUGUAAUGAAGCCUCCAUAAAAUCCAAAAAGGAUGGAUUCAGAGAGCUCCCAGGUUGGUGAACACAUGCAAGUGCUGAGUGACUGGUGCGCAGAGGGCAUGGCAGCGUUACCAGCUCUUAGUCAAUAUCAGCCCUGAUAUUGGUUCCCCAGUAGUGAACCCAGCAUAUAUGGGGUUAAAACCAAAAGCACUCAUCUCCCUUGUCUGCUUCUUUAGUUACACUCCUAUGUAAAUAUCUGUUUCUUUAACCUCUGACCCCCUGAGCUUUCCCAAAUAGAAGUUACAAACCGUUAAAGUCCAAAUGGCCUCCAGCUGGGCUCCCACUAAAGCUGCAGCUAUCACAGGAUCUUGAAGUUCUUUUACAGAGAAAUGUAUGUCCAGAGACUAUCAGGAAACCAAGGCUUCCCAGGCCCGACUCCUCGGCUUCCUGACGUCAGAGUCUCCCUUCCACCAUGGAGAUAAACAGCUAAGGGCACUCGUCUGAGAAAUCCUUUGUCUCCUCUGCUGGAAGCAGCCCCAGACACAGGCUGAUGGGAAAAUGCUGACCAAGAAGGUCGCGGCCCUCCCCUACCUAAAACCCCAAAUAAAAUCCCCUACCUGUUUCUUAACGGGGAGCUAGCAGUAUUUGAGGCACAAGGCCUUGCUUUGCCCCCCUUGCCUGGCAAAGAAAACAAAGCCUUUCCUUUUCCACUCAAAACUCUGUUUCCCUUGCUGGAUUGGCAUCAGGUUCAGAAGCUCUGAGCUCCUUCCCACAUACCUUGCCUCUUCAGCUGGUCGUUCAUCUGUAUCCUAUAUAAUAUCCCUUUGAACUGACUGGUAAAUGUAAGUAAAUAUGUCUCUGAGUUCUGUGAGCCGCUCUAGCAAAUUAAUCGAACCCAAGGAGGGGGUUGUGGGAACCUCUGAUUUAUAGCUGUUUGGUCAGAAGCACAAGUGACAACCUAGGCUUGCAAUUGGCAUCCGAAGUAGCGGCAGUCUUGCAGGACUGAGCCCUUAACCUGUGGGAUCUGACACUCUCUCCAGGU
ensembl:lncRNA